rnacentral:rRNA from 1 species
AGAGCGAACGCUGGCGGCAUGCUUAACACAUGCAAGUCGCACGGGCAUUUCGGUGUCAGUGGCGGACGGGUGAGUAACGCGUAGGUAUCUAUCCUUGGGUGGGGGAUAACGGUUGGAAACGACUGCUAAUACCGCAUGAUAACUGAGGUUUAAAGGCGCAAGUCGCCUGGGGAGGAGCCUGCGUACGAUUAGCUUGUUGGUGGGGUAAAGGCCUACCAAGGCGACGAUCGUUAGCUGGUCUGAGAGGAUGAUCAGCCACAUUGGGACUGAGACACGGCCCAAACUCCUACGGGAGGCAGCAGUGGGGAAUAUUGGACAAUGGGCGAAAGCCUGAUCCAGCAAUGCCGCGUGUGUGAAGAAGGUCUUCGGAUUGUAAAGCACUUUCGACGGGGACGAUGAUGACGGUACCCGUAGAAGAAGCCCCGGCUAACUUCGUGCCAGCAGCCGC